CAUUCUGCGUGACCUUGGGUGUGCGCGCAGGAAUGCGCCCGGAUGGCUGUGCGGGGCCGGGACUGCGCAGCGCGGAGGGUGCGUUCUCUGCAUCGGGGGUUCGUGUGAGCAGUGGCCUCGGUCAGCGGCGUUUCAUGCGCAUCUCGAAGUUUGUUUACGCAAUUGUUUUUCUGUUGAUUUGCUUCUUAUAAUUUGUGAAUCGGUUCCGGUUGGGGGGGAGGUUCCAUCCAUGUUGAAGUGUUUCUGCCCGCGGUAAAAGGGCUCGUUGGCUAUUUAGCGUGUACAUGAAAACGCCAAACCAGGUAACGUUUAAGUGGCUACCAGGUUCCACUACGUAAUGCGACUGGUGCUACGACGAGAUCCACACCGAAAUGCGAAAACCUCAGUAACUUUGUUAUGUUCGAAUUUUCUGGAAGGAACUCUAUGCAGUCUGAAAGGAUUGAUGGAGAGUACAGUAAUUGCUUUCAGCAUAGCUUUUGUUAGGCGGUGACUGUUAAACUUGGGGGUUUAUACCUGUACAUCUUGUGCACUCGUGAACACCCUUAGAGGUUGUGAAAUUUUGGAAAGGUUAAGUGAGACGAGGAGGCUUGUGUCAGCUUUUCUCCCCCACUUCAGCUUUACUUAAAAUUGUAACUAGUAAUUUGCAGAACGUUCAUUAUCAGAUUUGAUAAUUACAUAUUAAGAUUGCACAAUAUGUUUAUGUCCAAAUUGUGGGUAGUGGGUUUUAGUUUCUUAUGAGAAAGUGACAUUUAGUUUUAAUCUUUUAAGUGGUAGUUACCACUAAAAAUGAUUUUGAAAUGGAUCAUGCAAAAGGGUCAGUGGAUACGUUCAAUUUAUCUCCUUAUGCUAAUUAAAAAAAACCUGUUUUCAAUGGUUCCCUCAGAUAUCAAAAUCUGAUGCUUAACUUUCUUACAUAAGUCUAAUAUUUACGUAUAGUUUACACACAUUGCAAUUUUUCCAUAUAUUUUAAGUAAC
rnacentral:lncRNA from 1 species